rnacentral:misc_RNA from 1 species
CUGAGUUGAAAAACUCCCAACCCCUGUGAACAUAACCUCUGUCGUUGCUUCGGCGGGCACGCCCGCCGGAGGUUCAAAACUCUUAUUUUUUUCAGUAUCUCUGAGCCUAAAAGACAAAUAAUCAAAACUUUCAACAACGGAUCUCUUGGUUCUGGCAUCGAUGAAGAACGCAGCGAAAUGCGAUAAGUAAUGUGAAUUGCAGAAUUCAGUGAAUCAUCGAAUCUUUGAACGCACAUUGCGCCCGCCGGUAUUCCGGCGGGCAUGCCUGUUCGAGCGUCAUUUCAACCCUCAAGCCUCGGCUUGGUGUUGGGGCGCCCGGGCCCUCCGCGGCCCGGGGCCCCCAAGUUCAUCGGCGGGCUCGUCGGUACACUGAGCGCAGUAAAACGCGGUAAAACGCGAACCUCGUUCGGAUCGUCCCGGCGUGCUCCAGCCGCUAAACCCCCAAUUCUUUAAA